AGUAAAAUGGCUGAUAAGAGGUGAUAGAUUGUAAAUCUAUUUAUGAAUAGAAAAUUCUUUUACUA
rnacentral:tRNA from 1 species